rnacentral:lncRNA from 1 species
GUGGGCCAAUGAUAUGAAAAGAAAUAGAGCUCAAGAUAUCCAAGCAUUGUGGGUCCGUCAUAAUUUUCAUCGAGCUAGUUUCAACAUCUAUCCGAUCGGUGCUUCACACUAUGAGCAGAUGAAAGCUCGUCGGUCUACCACUCGGCAAUCCUCAUGCAUAAUGGCUGAUAUUUUCUCAUCAAUCAACUCCUAUAGCCCAGGCUAGCGAGUCGACAGUGUGUUCGAAUGGCCAGUUCAAUCCCAUCAGAAGAUGAUCAUUGGUCGAUCAUGUCAAGCCAACCAACCUCUCCCUUUCGGGCAGGCC